rnacentral:ncRNA from 1 species
AGCCCCGUGAGGAUGCCCCUAGCUCUCGUAUGAGACUAGGGAGCUGGUAUCAGGCUCACAACCGUAGCCCAAGACACCUUGCUCAGCCACCCCCCUAUGGGAAUUCAGCAGUGGUAAACAUUAAGCCAUAAGUGCAAACUUGACUUAGUAAAAGCUAAGAGGGCCGGUAAAGCUCGUGCCAGCCACCGCGGUUAUACGAGAGGCCCAAGAUGACAGGCCCCGGCGUAAAGGGUGGUUAAGACGAUAUUUCACUAAAGCCAAACACCCUUCCUGCUGUAAUACACUCAUAGGGGUAGGAAGCCCAUCUACGAAAGUUGCUUUAAACCUCUGACGCCACGAAAGCUAGGGAACAAACUGGGAUUAGGUACCCCACUAUGCCUAGCCGUAAACAUUGAUUAUUUAAUACCAUACAUCCGCCUGGGAACUACGAGCACCAGCUUGAAACCCAAAGGACUUGGCGGUGCCUUAGACCCCCCUAGAGGAGCCUGUUCUAGAACUGAUAAUCCCCGUUUAACCUCACCCUCUCUUGCUUUUCCCACCUAUAUACCGCCGUCGUCAGCUCACCCUGUGAAGGCCUUUCAGUAAGCAAGGUUGGCUCGCCCCAAAACGUCAGGUCGAGGUGUAGUUUAUGGGAGGGGAAGAAAUGGGCUACAUUCGUUUAUCAACGCACACGAAUGAUUAAUUGAAACAUUUAUCUGAAGGAGGAUUUAGCAGUAAGAUGGGAUUAGAGAGCCCGCCUGAAACUGGCCCUGAGGCGCGCACACACCGCCCGUCACUCUCCCCUAACACAUCCAAUAGUUUUACCUAAAAAGCCAUAACACACAAGGGGAGGCAAGUCGUAACAUGGUAAGCUUACCGGAAGGUGCGCUUGGAAU